AGAGUUUGAUUCUGGCUCAGAACGAACGCUGGCGGCGUGGAUAAGACAUGCAAGUCGAACGAGAGAAUUGCUAGCUUGCUAAUAAUUCUCUAGUGGCGCACGGGUGAGUAACACGUGAGUAACCUGCCCCCGAGAGCGGGAUAGCCCUGGGAAACUGGGAUUAAUACCGCAUAGUAUCGAAAGAUUAAAGCAGCAAUGCGCUUGGGGAUGGGCUCGCGGCCUAUUAGUUAGUUGGUGAGGUAACGGCUCACCAAGGCGAUGACGGGUAGCCGGUCUGAGAGGAUGUCCGGCCACACUGGAACUGAGACACGGUCCAGACACCUACGGGUGGCAGCAGUCGAGAAUCAUUCACAAUGGGGGAAACCCUGAUGGUGCGACGCCGCGUGGGGGAAUGAAGGUCUUCGGAUUGUAAACCCCUGUCAUGUGGGAGCAAAUUAAAAAGAUAGUACCACAAGAGGAAGAGACGGCUAACUCUGUGCCAGCAGCCGCGGUAAUACAGAGGUCUCAAGCGUUGUUCGGAAUCACUGGGCGUAAAGCGUGCGUAGGCUGUUUCGUAAGUCGUGUGUGAAAGGCGCGGGCUCAACCCGCGGACGGCACAUGAUACUGCGAGACUAGAGUAAUGGAGGGGGAACCGGAAUUCUCGGUGUAGCAGUGAAAUGCGUAGAUAUCGAGAGGAACACUCGUGGCGAAGGCGGGUUCCUGGACAUUAACUGACGCUGAGGCACGAAGGCCAGGGGAGCGAAAGGGAUUAGAUACCCCUGUAGUCCUGGCAGUAAACGGUGCACGCUUGGUGUGCGGGGAAUCGACCCCCUGCGUGCCGGAGCUAAC
rnacentral:rRNA from 1 species